rnacentral:rRNA from 1 species
GAUGAACGCUAGCUACAGGCUUAACACAUGCAAGUCGAGGGGUAACGAGAGGAAAGCUUGCUUUCCUUGUCGACGACCGGCGCACGGGUGAGUAACGCGUAUCCAACCUGCCCCCAACUAGGGAAUAACCUUGCGAAAGUAAGACUAAUACCCUAUAAUUUCCUCAGAUGGCAUCUGACGAGGAAUAAAGAUUUAUCGGUUGUGGAUGGGGAUGCGUCUGAUUAGCUUGUUGGCGGGGUAACGGCCCACCAAGGCAACGAGCAGUAGGGGUUCUGAGAGGAAGGUCCCCCACAUUGGAACUGAGACACGGUCCAAACUCCUACGGGAGGCAGCAGUGAGGAAUAUUGGUCAAUGGGCGGAAGCCUGAACCAGCCAAGUAGCGUGCAGGAUGACGGCCCUAUGGGUUGUAAACUGCUUUUAUACAGGAAUAAAGUUAGCCACGUGUGGUUAUUUGUAGGUACUGUAUGAAUAAGGACCGGCUAAUUCCGUGCCAGCCGCCGCGGUAA